rfam:Bombyx mori DNA, contig: Bm_scaf17_contig12483, strain: p50T/Dazao, build 2, whole genome shotgun sequence.
CCAGUCGAAGCCGAUGUUCCACAGCAGGGGGCUCAGGACAGACCCCUGCGGAACACCACGCUCGACGGG